AUUCAGGUCAAAAAUUCGGGUUUAUGCGUUUUCGGUUAUAUUUAAGGUUUGGGGUUUAUUUCCCCCGGACCCCAUUCACGAAAAUUUACCCUAAAGUCAAUAAGAACAAGUCCCAAGCCUCAAGAACCAUACAAGGGUUUGCAACAUAAUUCUUUCCAAAGUAAAUCAAGCUAGGGUUUGGGUAUUCUUCAUUAGAAAAGUGAUUUGUUAAACCUUGUUUAACAAAUUAAGCUACUCGGGAGGAAGGGUAGCCACUAUGGAUCCUAGUGUGGUAAUUGCCUAGCCAUUCGGGAGGAAGAGUGGCCACUUCCGGGUCGCUACCGGGGUGUGAUUCAAGCCUAGCUAUUCGGGGGGAAGGAUAGCCACCGCUGGGUUCGCUACCUGGGGUGUGAUGUAUGCCUAGCUAUUCGGGAGGAAGGAUAGCCACCGCGUACUACAUAGUCCGGUGUGAUUUAUGCCUAGCCAUUCGGGAGGAUGAGUGAUCACCGAGGAUCUCAUAUUCCGGUGUGCUUACGCCUAGCCAUUCGGGAGGAUGAGUGGUCACCGAGGAUCUCAUAUUCCUAGUGUGUCAUUGCCUAGCCAUUCGGGAGGAAGAGUGGCCACCGCUGGGUUCGCUACCCGGGGUGUGAUUCAAGCCUAGCUAUUCGGGAGGAAGGAUAGCCACCGCUGGGUUCGCUACCUGGGGUGUGAUUUAUGCCUAGCUAUUCGGGAGGAAGGAUAGCCACCGUGUACUACAUAGUCCGGUGUGGUGCGCUAUGCGCGAUA